GACCGUGAGUAGCUAAUUGUAGUGUCGGCAACACGGCGCGACUGAGGACAACGAACACACUCAACCCAUGCCACACAAGAACUCCUUUAUUCCGGUGACAGUCGUAUUUAUAUAUGUCAGAGUUGGCGCCAUCUCUUGAUGACAGUUGAAC
rnacentral:lncRNA from 1 species